AGCGGCGGACGGGUGAGUAACGCGUGGGUAACCUGCCCUGUACACACGGAUAACAUACCGAAAGGUAUGCUAAUACGGGAUAACAUAAGAAAGUCGCAUGGCUUUCUUAUCAAAGCUUUUGCGGUACAGGAUGGACCCGCGUCUGAUUAGCUAGUUGGUAAGGUAACGGCUUACCAAGGCGACGAUCAGUAGCCGACCUGAGAGGGUGAUCGGCCACAUUGGAACUGAGACACGGUCCAAACUCCUACGGGAGGCAGCAGUGGGGAAUAUUGCACAAUGGGCGAAAGCCUGAUGCAGCAACGCCGCGUGAGCGAUGAAGGCCUUCGGGUCGUAAAGCUCUGUCCUCAAGGAAGAUAAUGACGGUACUUGAGGAGGAAGCCCCGGCUAACUACGUGCCAGCAGCCGCGGUAAUACGUAGGGGGCUAGCGUUAUCCGGAAUUACUGGGCGUAAAGGGUGCGUAGGCGGUCUUUCAAGUCAGAAGUGAAAGGCUACGGCUCAACCGUAGUAAGCUUUUGAAACUGUAAGACUUGAGUGCAGGAGAGGAGAGUGGAAUUCCUAGUGUAGCGGUGAAAUGCGUAGAUAUUAGGAGGAACACCAGUUGCGAAGGCGGCUCUCUGGACUGUAACUGACGCUGAGGCA
rnacentral:rRNA from 1 species